CAACUUACCUGGUGUCGGGCACUCCGUGAUCAUGAAGGCGAAGACCCCAGGAGGAGGUCCUUCCAUUGCACUUCGGAAGGGCUGAGACCUGCCACUGUCCCAAACUGAGAAGGGUGGGGCAUGUAAUUAAC
rnacentral:snRNA from 1 species